GGUGGGUUGGCAGAGCGGACAAUUGCGCGAGUUUCGAAAACUCGAGGGGGAAACUCCUACACAGGUUCGAAUCCUGUACCCACCGCCC
rnacentral:tRNA from 1 species